rnacentral:rRNA from 1 species
GAUGAACGCUGGCGGCGUGCCUAAUACAUGCAAGUCGAGCGAACGGACGAGAAGCUUGCUUCUCUGAUGUUAGCGGCGGACGGGUGAGUAACACGUGGAUAACCUACCUAUAAGACUGGGAUAACUUCGGGAAACCGGAGCUAAUACCGGAUGAUAUUUUGAACCGCAUGGUUCAAAAGUGAAAGACGGUCUUGCUGUCACUUAUAGAUGGAUCCGCGCUGCAUUAGCUAGUUGGUAAGGUAACGGCUUACCAAGGCAACGAUGCAUAGCCGACCUGAGAGGGUGAUCGGCCACACUGGAACUGAGACACGGUCCAGACUCCUACGGGAGGCAGCAGUAGGGAAUCUUCCGCGAUGGGCGAAAGCCUGACGGAGCAACGCCGCGUGAGUGAUGAAGGUCUUCGGAUCGUAAAACUCUGUUAUUAGGGAAGAACAUAUGUGUAAGUACCUGUGCACAUCUUGACGGUACCUAAUCAGAAAGCCACGGCUAACUACGUG